CUACACAUGCAGUCGAACGGCAGCACAGUAAGAGCUUGCUCUUAUGGGUGGCGAGUGGCGGACGGGUGAGGAAUACAUCGGAAUCUACCUUUUCGUGGGGGAUAACGUAGGGAAACUUACGCUAAUACCGCAUAAGACCUUCGGGUGAAAGCCGGGGACCUUCGGGCCUGGCGCGGAUAGAUGAGCCGAUGUCGGAUUAGCUUGUUGGCGGGGUAAAAGCCCACCAAGGCGACGAUCCGUAGCUGGUCUGAGAGGAUGAUCAGCCACACUGGAACUGAGACACGGUCCAGACUCCUACGGGAGGCAGCAGUGGGGAAUAUUGGACAAUGGGCGCAAGCCUGAUCCAGCCAUACCGCGUGGGUGAAGAAGGCCUUCGGGUUGUAAAGCCCUUUUGUUGGGAAAGAAAUCCUGCCGAUUAAUACUCAGUAGGGAUGACGGUACCCAAAGAAUAAGCACCGGCUAACUUCGUGCCAGCAGCCGCGGUAAUACGAAGGGUGCAAGCGUUACUCGGAAUUACUGGGCGUAAAGCGUGCGUAGGUGGUUGUUUAAGUCUGUCGUGAAAGCCCUGGGCUCAACCUGGGAAUUGCGAUGGAUACUGGGCGACUAGAGUGUGGUAGAGGACAGUGGAAUUUCCGGUGUAGCAGUGAAAUGCGUAGAGAUCGGAAGGAACAUCUGUGGCGAA
rnacentral:rRNA from 2 species